rnacentral:pre_miRNA from 1 species
AUGGUACUUCCUCCGUUCAGAAUUACUUGUGCAGAAAUGGAUGUAUCUAGAUGUAUUUUAAUUCUAAAUACAUCCAUUUUCGAGAUAAAUAAUUCCGAAUGGAGGGAGUAGAUU